rnacentral:rRNA from 1 species
AACGCGAAGAACCUUACCAGGUCCUGACAUCCCAGUGACCGCUCUAGAGAUAGAGUUUUUCUUCGGAACACUGGUGACAGGUGGUGCAUGGUUGUCGUCAGCUCGUGUCGUGAGAUGUUGGGUUAAGUCCCGCAACGAGCGCAACCCUUAUUGUUAGUUGCCAUCAUUCAGUUGGGCACUCUAGCGAGACUGCCGGUAAUAAACCGGAGGAAGGUGGGGAUGACGUCAAAUCAUCAUGCCCCUUAUGACCUGGGCUACACACGUGCUACAAUGGUUGGUACAACGAGUCGCAAGUCGGUGACGGCAAGCAAAUCUCUUAAAGCCGAUCUCAGUUCGGAUUGUAGGCUGCAACUCGCCUACAUGAAGUCGGAAUCGCUAGUAAUCGCGGAUCAGCACGCCGCGGUGAAUACGUUCCCGGGUCUUUACACACCG